GUGGGUGGGGAGGACAGAGCUCCUAGAGGUGGUUCCUGAGGAAUUGAUUAAUGAGGAGUUAUUGGAACUGAACAGGAACACAUAGCUGAAGAAGAAGCAAGAGAACAGGAAACUUCAGGAAAAGAAAAAAAGAAGAAUCCGUAAGAAAAUUCACAGUGGAGGAGAUUUUAGCAGAAGCUUUUGCAGACCUCAACAAGAUCCUUAAAAAAUUAGAAAACAUGGACCCCCUCACCCCAAC